rnacentral:rRNA from 1 species
GGACCCGCACAAGCGGUGGAGCGUGUUCUUUAAUUCGAUGCUAAACGAAGAACCUUACCCAGGCUUGACAUCCUCUGAAUUUUUCCGAAAGGAAAGAGUGCUUUAUUGAACAGAGUGACAGAUCUUGCAUGGCCGUCGUCAGCUCGUGUCGUGAGAUGUUUGGUUAAGUCCAUCAACGAGCGCAACCCUUACUGUUAGUUGUAUUUUUCUAGCAGGACUGCUUCGGUAACGGAGAGGAAGGGGGGGAUGAUGUCAGGUCAGUAUUAGUCUUACGUCUGGGGCUAGAAACGCGCUACAAUGGUCAGUACAACGGGCAGCUAAGUUGCAAAACGGAGCAAAUCCCAUCAAAACUGAUCCCAGUUCGGACUGGGGGCUGAAACUCGCCCCACGAAGUCGGAAUCGCUAGUAAUCGCAGAUCAGCACGCUG